AAAGCAAAAGAAGGAAUGAAGUGUUUAAGUUACGGACUUUAAAAGGUUUAAGUUUCUUAUUCGAUAAUAAUACAAAUUAAACUCAAUAAAAAAUUGGAAAACAAAAAUUUAAAACCGUACCCAAACAACAGGAGUGUGUGCAAAGUUUAAUUAUGUGUCUAAAUACCCUCAAAAAGAGCUGAAAGCCAAUUCGUAGACUUAAAACAAAUUGGACUUUGGAAUGAACAAAUCUUUGUUUGCUUUAGCGAUUUUCUGGACAAGUAAACCUCAAAUAGCAUUAACCUAAUGGACAUUUGCUUGUGUAAAUAAACGAUUUUAGCUUUUUCGGAGGGAAUUGGGUCAGUUUAAACGCGAUGAGCAAACACUUGGACAAGGACCUAUUGCACACCUAAUGAUUAAAUGGUUUCUGUCUCCUUUUAUGUACAGUGCUGAACAAAUGGUGUUUCCACCUUAAACUUGGCAUAACGGGAAUAGUAAAUAAAAAUACAAGCACUAGUAUCUUGCUCACCACUGUACAUGUGGAAGUUCGACUAAAAUAAAUUGGCCAAGAAGGAAAGAUAAUUAGAAAUUCGGGUUGAUGUGGAAAAAUGAAGACGAGGAUGUAGAGUGCCAUUUGCAUGCUAUCUAUUUCGUCUUGACUUUAAUUUAGUUUAAGUUUGGAAGUCAUUGGAGGAAAGGGGCGGAUGGCACGCCCCCACAGUAUGGAGCAAAGUCGAGGGGCGCCUCUGGGGAAAGUUUGUAAUUGCAACGACCCUUUGACACAAUUAUUGCAUUUUAAACUCUCUUCUGCAAAAUCAAAAAACUUCCCAGAUAUUUAAUCACUUUAGUAGUAAUAUCUAACACAACUAUUUAUUUAAACUGAACAUAAACUAAUUAUUAUUUAAGACGCUACUCAAUAUAAUCAAUACUCAACAGACACUUAGCAAUAAUAAUAUUACAUUUAACAUUUUUAGCAACAAGGACACACUUUUUUUCGAAGUGCAAAUUGUGCAUGCCUCAUGUUUAGCUUAGGAUCCAAUAAAACACGCAAUUGCGACAAUUUUA